rnacentral:rRNA from 1 species
CGGACCGGCGCACGGGUGCGUAACGCGUAUGCAACCUACCUUUAACAGGGGGAUAACACUGAGAAAUUGGUACUAAUACCCCAUAAUAUCAUAGAAGGCAUCUUUUAUGGUUGAAAAUUCCGAUGGUUAGAGAUGGGCAUGCGUUGUAUUAGCUAGUUGGUGGGGUAAUGGCUCACCAAGGCGACGAUACAUAGGGGGACUGAGAGGUUAACCCCCCACACUGGUACUGAGACACGGACCAG